rnacentral:snoRNA from 1 species
ACAUGAUGAGACUCCAGCUGGCACCAGUCUGAGAAGACUUGUACUCUUUAAAUGCGGAUCAGCUUUUACAUGGCAAUAAGCCUACAAUCUGAA